rnacentral:rRNA from 1 species
UACAGAGGGUGCGAGCGUUACUCGGAAUUACUGGGCGUAAAGCGCGCGUAGGCGGCUUUGCAAGUCGGGUGUGAAAUCCCCAGGCUUAACCUGGGAACUGCAUUCGAGACUGCAUUGCUAGAGUAUGGGAGAGGGAAGUGGAAUUUCCGGUGUAGCGGUGAAAUGCGUAGAUAUCGUAAGGAAGACCAGUGGCGAAGGCGGGUCUCUGGACAGUUCCUGACGCUGAGGCACGAAGGUCAGGGGAGCAAACGGG